GACGAACGCUGGCGGCGCGCCUAACACAUGCAAGUCGAGCGGGGUUCUUUUAGGAAGCUUGCUUCCUGGUUGAACCUAGCGGCGGACGGGUGAGUAACACGUGAGCAACCUGCCCUGGAGAGGGGGAUAACAUCCGGAAACGGAUGCUAAUACCGCAUAACAUCGAGAGCCGGCAUCGGUUUUCGAUCAAAGGAGAAAUCCGCUCUAGGAUGGGCUCGCGUCCGAUUAGAUAGUUGGUGAGGUAACGGCUCACCAAGUCGACGAUCGGUAGCCGGACUGAGAGGUUGAUCGGCCACAUUGGGACUGAGACACGGCCCAGACUCCUACGGGAGGCAGCAGUGGGGAAUAUUGCACAAUGGGGGAAACCCUGAUGCAGCGACGCCGCGUGAGCGAAGAAGGCCUUCGGGUUGUAAAGCUCUGUUGAGGGGGACGAAGAAUGACGGUACCCCUUUAGAAAGCCACGGCUAACUACGUG
rnacentral:rRNA from 1 species